UUUCAUAAUUAGAAACAUGUUACCGGGCUGUCUAUUUCCUCUUUUUUCUCAUACCUAGCCUCUGUGCACAGUGCACUGACCUGCUUGCAACUAGUCCAAAACUACACCUGCGGGGCCUCCUCUAGCAAGCAUCAACGAGUCCCAAACCCUGCCAUGCCCGCACCAAGGAGCAAACUAGGGGGAUAGGAGUCAUUGCUAGCUGCUCGACCGUCA
rnacentral:lncRNA from 1 species